AAGCGUGACUGUCAAAUCUAUAUAUUCUCUCUCUCUCUCUCUCUCUCUCUCUCUCUCUCUCUCUCUAUCUGUUUUAUUAUUAUUAUUAUUAUUAUUAUUUAGUUUAAUUAGUUUAUUUAUUUGUCCAUCUCUUUCUCUUACUCUCUAUCUAGAUUUCUCAGAAGAGGUGUCUGUUCCGGAGAUUCGAUUUAAUCGGCGAUCUUUUUCCACUGCUCCUCGUGAAUCAGACUCCUCUUCCUCCUUCUCUCCCUACAAUAUAAUGUUCCAGAUUUUCAAGGAUUAUUAUUGGGGAAGUGAUUGAGUGAAGAAAUAAUAUGGACGGGGAGACAUUGUCAAGAGGAGAAAUUGAUGGGAAAAUGGUACAGAGAUUUCAAACGAAUUUCGUUCAAGUACAGAACAUUUUAGAGCAAAACAGAAUGUUGAUCAAUGAAAUAAACCAAAAUCAGGAGUCGAGAAUGGCGGGUAAAGUGAGCAGAAACGUGGGUCUGAUUCGAGAGCUGAACAACAACAUCAGAAGAGUUGUUGAUUUAUAUGCUGAUCUCUCCACUUCCUUCACCAACUCCAUCGAACAUGGAGACUCCGCGGCCAAGCCUGGCUACAAGCGCAACCGCCCGUAGCAGCUAUUACCCCCUUAUCCUUUCUCAUCUCAUUCUUUCCCUUACUACAGCCAAUAACUUAAAUUAUUCUAAAACCAAAAUUUUCUUUUGUUGGGGGAAAUAUAUUGUGAAGUAAUUAGGCAGUGUGUGUGCCCGCUGUGCAGUGUAGGUACUACUCAACUCUAUUCACUCUUCUCCUAUGAACUCAAAUUUAAACCUCCUUUUGUUCCUCUGCUUUUUUUUCCUCACAAAACUUACUGUUUCAUCAUUUUAUUUUCACUGCUUAA